GCCUCUUGAUAAAAUAUAAGAGGUCCAGCCUGCCCAGUGACAUAGUUAAACGGCCGCGGUACCCUGACCGUGCGAAGGUAGCAUAAUCACUUGUUCUUUAAAUGGGGACUCGUAUCAACGGCAUCACGAGGGCUUUACUGUCUCCUUUCUCCAAUCAGUGAAACUGAUCUCCCCGUGAAGAAGCGGGGAUGACAAUAUAAGACGAGAAGACCCCAUGGAGCUUUAAACCCAACGACACCCCUCAACCCCCCAACCCAUUAUAGUUGCUACAGCCCUGUUCGUUGGUUUUAGGUUGGGGUGACCGCGGAGUAUAAAUUACCCUCCACGACGAAUGGGACUACCCCCUUACCCAAGAGCUACUCCUCUAAGGAUCAACAGAUUGACGUAAAAUGAUCCAAGCAUUUGAUCAACGGACCAAGUUACCCUGGGGAUAACAGCGCAAUCCAUUUCAAGAGCUCCUAUCGACAAAUGGGUUUACGACCUCGAUGUUGGAUCAGGGUACCCAAGUGGUGCAGCCGCUACUAAUGGUUUGUUUGUUCAACAAUUAAAACCCUACGUG
rnacentral:rRNA from 1 species